GGGGUAGUUGGGAAAAUCAUGUUACAAAGGAGCAUUGAGAAAAACAAGAAAAGAAAGAAAAGGAAAAGAAGAAAGAAGAACAAAAUCAAGAAAAAGAAUACAAUGAAUGAAAGUUGGAAACUGAGUAGAGAAUUGGUUUUAAUUGUCUUGAAGAAAAAGAGAGAAUGAUGUUAUCCUACUUUGAUUUGUCUACUCUCUUAACUCAAGGUGAUUUGUAUCUAGAAAAACCAAAUUUUCUUCUUAGCCCAACUACAAUUCUAGCCUCAAAAAGUCCUUGUGAUGAUAAUGUGCAUGUGAAUGUGUUUGACUUGGAAUGAAAUGAAAGGCAAAGUUGAUCUGUGUGACAUUGUGAU
rnacentral:lncRNA from 1 species